rnacentral:misc_RNA from 1 species
UUUAGCUAUUCUUGUAUCGCUCAGACUUCACUGUUCCAAAGGGUUUCGGUGGGGCUCCUGACGGGCACUCGCCGGGCGAGAUCACCGGAGAGGUGACCACGGCCGGCGGGGGCUCCCCCGCGCCCGGGGUCGGGCGGUGGGUUCGCCCUCGGCCUGCCAAAGCAACAGAGGUAUGUGUUCAUGGGUUGGGAGUUUCGGGCCGCGGGGACCCUUGCUCUUUAAUGAUCCCUCCGCAGGUUCACCUACGGAGA